rnacentral:rRNA from 1 species
CAGCACAAGGAGCAAUCUGAGGUGGCGACCGGCGCACGGGUGAGUAACACGUAUGCAACCUGCCUGUAAGCGGGGAAUAACCCGUUGAAAGACGGACUAAUACCGCAUAAUACUAAAUUACUGCAUGGUAAUUUAUUUAAACAUUUAUGGCUUACAGAUGGGCAUGCGCAUGAUUAGCUAGUUGGAGAGGUAACGGCUCCCCAAGGCAACGAUCAUUAGGGGUUCUGAGAGGAAGGUCCCCCACACUGGUACUGAGACACGGACCAGACUCCUACGGGAGGCAGCAGUGAGGAAUAUUGGUCAAUGGACGAGAGUCUGAACCAGCCAAGUCGCGUGCAGGAAGAAUGUCCUAUUGGAUUGUAAACUGCUUUUGCAGGGGAAUAAAGUGCAUCACGUGUGAUGUUUUGUAUGUACUCUGCGAAUAAGGAUCGGCUAACUCCGUGCCAGCAGCUGC